rnacentral:rRNA from 1 species
UACGUAGGGUGCGAGCGUUGCCCGGAUUUAUUGGGCGUAAAGGGCGCGUAGGCGGUCACGCACGUCCGUUGUGAAAUCGCUCGGCUCAACUGGGCGGGUCAGCGGAUACGGCGUGGCUGGAGCAAGCUAGGGGGCAAUGGAAUUCCCGGUGUAGUGGUGGAAUGCGUAGAUAUCGGGAGGACACCAGUGGCGAAGGCGGUUGCCUGGAGCUUUGCUGACGCUGAUGCGCGAAAGCGUGGGGAGCGAGUCCGG